rnacentral:rRNA from 2 species
CUGCGGCCUAUCAGCUUGUUGGUGAGGUAAUGGCCCACCAAGGCGAUUACAGGUACGGGCUCUGAGAGGAGAAGCCCGGAGAUGGGUACUGAGACAAGGACCCAGGCCCUAUGGGGCGCAGCAGGCGAGAAAACUUUGCAAUGUGCGAAAGCACGACAAGGUUAGUCCGAGUGAUUUCUGCUAAAGAGAUCUUUUGCUAGUUAUAAAACCACUAGUGAAUAAGGGGUGGGCAAGUUCUGGUGUCAGCCGCCGCGGUAAAACCAGCACCUCAAGUGGUCAGGAUGAUUAUUGGGCCUAAAGCAUCCGUAGCCGGCUCUGUAAGUUUUCGGUUAAAUCUAUGCGCUCAACGUAUGGGCUGCCGAAAAUACUGUAGAGAUAGGGAGUGGGAGAGGUAGACGGUACUCGGUAGGAAGGGGUAAAAUCCUUUGAUCUAUCGAUGACCACCUGUGGCGAAGGCGGUCUGCCAGAACACGU